rnacentral:rRNA from 1 species
AACGCUGGCGGCGUGCCUAAUACAUGCAAGUCGAACGCACAGCGAAAGGUGCUUGCACCUUUCAAGUGAGUGGCGAACGGGUGAGUAACACGUGGACAACCUGCCUCAAGGCUGGGGAUAACAUUUGGAAACAGAUGCUAAUACCGAAUAAAACUUAGUAUCGCAUGAUACUAAGUUAAAAGGCGCUUCGGCGUCACCUAGAGAUGGAUCCGCGGUGCAUUAGUUAGUUGGUGGGGUAAAGGCCUACCAAGACGAUGAUGCAUAGCCGAGUUGAGAGACUGAUCGGCCACAUUGGGACUGAGACAGUCAACUCUA